GGCGCUGAACUUCUUCUGGAGCGGGAAUAUAUGCGGGAACCGAGUUUUGUUCAUGAGACGAUCCCGAUGCACGGGAACUGCUCACCAAACUACGUCGAAGACGGGCUGCGGGGCGGGGUACAUCCUCAGACCUAAAAAAAAAAUUAAUACAUCAAAAAUCUUUUCAAAUCAUUUCUAUUUUUAAUGUUUUCAUUUAUAUAUUUACAAAAGGUUUUAUAAACGUUUUAAAAAAAACUAUUAAACCUUUUAUUAUACAUAGUUUAUUACAGGAAACUUAUAAAAAAUUAUAAAAAUUUUAAAAUUUUUUAUUAUACAUGAUUUAUAUAUAUAUGUAUACAAAAUUAUAAAAUUUUUAUAAAUAUAGAAAAAUGUUGUUAAAUAUUUUUAAAAUUUUUAAAAAACAUUUUAUUAUACAUAGUUUAUUACUGGAAACUUGAAAAACGUUUUUAAAAAUAAAAAAACUUUUUAAAAAUAGUAAAACGUUUUGAAUUUUAACAAACACACAAAAUAAUUCCAAGAAAAACUAAAACAACAAUCCAAACAACAAUCCUAACUUAUAUAUCCUAAACUAUCCAUUCAAUCCUAAAAUUUUCAAUCAAACAACCUAAAAUCCGAGAUCUAACUUCCAAAACCCUAAAAAAAUGAGAUAAAACAAGGUUGGGAUGAUUCUUACAUGAUUUGGGGUUUGGGGAAGAGAUAUGAGGGUGAGAAGAGGAUUCGCCGGUGAUAGGAGCUCGAGAAUGGUCGGAAUCGC
rnacentral:lncRNA from 1 species